GUAGGUGGCAAGCGUUGUCCGGAAUUAUUGGGCGUAAAGCGCGCGCAGGCGGUUCUUUAAGUCUGAUGUGAAAGCCCACGGCUCAACCGUGGAGGGUCAUUGGAAACUGGAGAACUUGAGUACAGAAGAGGAAAGCGGAAUUCCACGUGUAGCGGUGAAAUGCGUAGAGAUGUGGAGGAACACCAGUGGCGAAGGCGGCUUUCUGGUCUGUAACUGACGCUGAGGCGCGAAAGCGUGGGGAGCAAACAGGAUUAGAUACCCUGGUAGUCCACGCCGUAAACGAUGAGUGCUAAGUGUUAGGGGGUUUCCGCCCCUUAGUGCUGCAGCUAACGCAUUAAGCACUCCGCCUGGGAUACGGCGCAAGGCUG
rnacentral:rRNA from 1 species